GCGGGAAUUCGAUUACCGCUCAGUAACACGUAGUCAACAUAACCAAAGGACGUGGAUAAACUCGGGAAACUGAGGCUAAACCGCGAUAGAUCAAGAUAUCUGGAAUGGUUUUUGAUCAAAAUCUAUAUGGCCUUUGGAUUGGACUGCGUCCGAUCAGGCUGUUGGUGAGGUAAUGGCCCACCAAACCUGUAACCGGUACGGGCUCUGAGAGGAGGAGCCCGGAGAUGGGUACUGAGACAAGGACCCAGGCCCUAUGGGGCGCAGCAGGCGCGAAACCUCUGCAAUAGGCGAAAGCCUGACAGGGUUACUCUGAGUGACUUUCGCUAAGAAAGUCUUUUGACACCUCUAAAAAUGGUGUAGAAUAAGGGGUGGGCAAGUCUGGUGUCAGCCGCCGCGGUAAUACCAGCACCCCGAGUGGUCGGGACGAUUAUUGGGCCUAAAGCAUCCGUAGCCGGUUUUACAAGUCCUCCGUUAAAUCCAGCUGCUUAACAGAUGGGCUGCGGAGGAUACUAUAAGACUAGGAGGCAGGAGAGGCAAGCGGUACUCAGUGGGUAGGGGUAAAAUCCGUUGAUCCAUUGAAGACCACCAGUGGCGAAGGCGGCUUGCCAGAAUGCGCUCGACGGUGAGGGAUGAAAGCUGGGGGAGCAAACCGGAUUAGAUACCCGGGUAGUCCCAGCUGUAAACGAUGCAGACUCGGUGAUGGACUAGCUUUAUGCUAGUCCAGUG
rnacentral:rRNA from 1 species